CAAGUAAACUAGCAUUUCCUGGUAUUGAUGAAAUUCCCACAGCUGCACUGGUAUCUCCUGCAGAUGUCUACAAAGAGCCCAGAGGGGGGGGGAAAUCAAUGUACAUGAUUGCAAAUAUACAGUACUUCAAUAAAUCUGAACUAGAUCAUGAACAUUCAACACAUGUGUACAUGACCAAGAAUAUCAUGGAGUAAGUAAACAAAGAAAAGAAAUAAAGCAAAACGAAGCAGUGAGAACUCAUAAGUUCCACUUACAAGAUUAUACUUUAUAUACAUGCUUAAAAUAAUGUUCAAUUAGACUACUUUACCCACAAUGAUUAGAAUAGAAUUUCCAAAGAUCGACAGGAAUAUUAGUGCCAUAAAGUGAAAGUUCAGUUAUUAUAGUAGCGAGUAUAUAUUCAACCACAUGAAAGAUUCAUAAAUCCAAAGCCUUACGUCAUUUCUUAUCAUAAGCUUCUCAUCAAACAGGCAGGUGCUACCAUGCUAGAGUCCCCACAUAAGUCAGCCACAUCAAGAAAGGGGCCAAAGUGGCAGUCUUGUGAAUUGACUAGUUAUGUUGAAAUUAAAAUGUGAAAGAUACUUCACCACAAACAACUAUUUCACCAUUUAUGGAAUGUACAUGAAUUGGCAAGGGUCAGAAUAAGUAGAGCUUGGAGUAUGGCUAAUGUAGAACAAAGGGAAAGAACCCUAAUUCAAUCCUAAUUA
rnacentral:misc_RNA from 1 species